rnacentral:rRNA from 1 species
GCAAGUCGAACGGUAACGCGGAGCAAUCUGGCGACGAGUGGCGAACGGGUGAGUAAUAUAUCGGAACAUACCCUAGAGUGGGGGAUAACGUAGCGAAAGUUACGCUAAUACCGCAUACGAUCUGAGGAUGAAAGUGGGGGAUCGCAAGACCUCAUGCUCAUGGAGUGGCCGAUAUCUGAUUAGCUAGUUGGUAGGGUAAAAGCCUACCAAGGCGACGAUCAGUAGCUGGUUUGAGAGAACGACCAGCCACACUGGAACUGAGACACGGUCCAGACUCCUACGGGAGGCAGCAGUGGGGAAUUUUGGACAAUGGGGGCAACCCUGAUCCAGCAAUGCCGCGUGAGUGAAGAAGGCCUUCGGGUUGUAAAGCUCUUUUGUCAGGGAAGAAAAGGUAGCCUCUAAUACAGGCUGCUCAUGACGGUACCUGAAGAAUAAGCACCGGCUAACUACGUGCCAGCAGCCGCGGUAAUACGUAGGGUGCAAGCGUUAAUCGGAAUUACUGGGCGUAAAGCGUGCGCAGGCGGUUAUAUAAGUCAGAUGUGAAAUCCCUGGGCUCAACCUAGGAACUGCAUUUGAGACUGUAUGGCUAGAGUGUGUCAGAGGGGGGUAGAAUUCCACGUGUAGCAGUGAAAUGCGUAGAUAUGUGGAGGAAUACCGAUGGCGAAGGCAGCCCCCUGGGAUAACACUGACGCUCAUGCACGAAAGCGUGGGGAGCAAACAGGAUUAGAUACCCUGGUAGUCCACGCCCUAAACGAUGUCUACUAGUUGUUGGGUCUUAAUUGACUUAGUAACGCAGCUAACGCGUGAAGUAGACCGCCUGGGGAGUACGGUCGCAAGAUUAAAACUCAAAGGAAUUGACGGGGACCCGCACAAGCGGUGGAUGAUGUGGAUUAAUUCGAUGCAACGCGAAAACCUUACCUACUCUUGACAUGUACA